rnacentral:rRNA from 1 species
GUGAAAAAGAACCUGAAACCGUGUACGUACAAGCAGUGGGAGCACCCUUUGGGUGUGACUGCGUACCUUUUGUAUAAUGGGUCAGCGACUUAUAUUCUGUAGCAAGGUUAACCGAAUAGGGGAGCCGGAGGGAAACCGAGUCUUAAUUGGGCGUUAAGUUGCAGGGUAUAGACCCGAAACCCGGUGAUCUAGCCAUGGGCAGGUUGAAGGUUGGGUAACACUAACUGGAGGACCGAACCGACUAAUGUUGAAAAAUUAGCGGAUGACCUGUGGCUGGGGGUGAAAGGCCAAUCAAACCGGGAGAUAGCUGGUUCUCCCCGAAAGCUAUUUAGGUAGCGCCUCGUGAAUUCAUCUCCGGGGGUAGAGCACUGUUUCGGCUAGGGGGCCAUCCCGGCUUACCAACCCGAUGCAAACUGCGAAUACCGGAGAAUGUUAUCACGGGAGACACACGGCGGGUGCUAACGUCCGUCGUGAAGAGGGAAACAACCCAGACCGCCAGCUAAGGUCCCAAAGUCAUGGUUAAGUGGGAAACGAUGUGGGAAGGCCCAGACAGCCAGGAUGUUGGCUUAGAAGCAGCCAUCAUUUAAAGAAAGCGUAAUAGCUCACUGGUCGAGUCGGCCUGCGCGGAAGAUGUAACGGGGCUAAACCAUGCACCGAAGCUGCGGCAGCGACACUGUGUGUUGUUGGGUAGGGGAGCGUUCUGUAAGCCUGUGAAGGUGUGUCGUGAGGCAUGCUGGAGGUAUCAGAAGUGCGAAUGCUGACAUAAGUAACGAUAAAGCGGGUGAAAAGCCCGCUCGCCGGAAGACCAAGGGUUCCUGUCCAACGUUAAUCGGGGCAGGGUGAGUCGACCCCUAAGGCGAGGCCGAAAGGCGUAGUCGAUGGGAAACGGGUUAAUAUUCCCGUACUUGGUGUUACUGCGAAGGGGGGACGGAGAAGGCUAUGUUGGCCGGGCGACGGUUGUCCCGGUUUAAGCGUGUAGGUGUGUGUUCCAGGUAAAUCCGGUUCACUUUAACACUGAGGCGUGACGACGAGGCACUACGGUGCUGAAGCAACAAAUGCCCUGCUUCCAGGAAAAGCCUCUAAGCAUCAGGUAACAUCAAAUCGUACCCCAAACCGACACAGGUGGUCAGGUAGAGAAUACCAAGGCGCUUGAGAGAACUCGGGUGAAGGAACUAGGCAAAAUGGUGCCGUAACUUCGGGAGAAGGCACGCUGACACGUAGGUGAAGUGAUUUACUCAUGGAGCUGAAGUCAGUCGAAGAUACCAGCUGGCUGCAACUGUUUAUUAAAAACACAGCACUGUGCAAACACGAAAGUGGACGUAUACGGUGUGACGCCUGCCCGGUGCCGGAAGGUUAAUUGAUGGGGUCAGCGCAAGCGAAGCUCCUGAUCGAAGCCCCGGUAAACGGCGGCCGUAACUAUAACGGUCCUAAGGUAGCGAAAUUCCUUGUCGGGUAAGUUCCGACCUGCACGAAUGGCGUAAUGAUGGCCAGGCUGUCUCCACCCGAGACUCAGUGAAAUUGAACUCGCUGUGAAGAUGCAGUGUACCCGCGGCAAGACGGAAAGACCCCGUGAACCUUUACUAUAGCUUGACACUGAACAUUGAGCCUUGAUGUGUAGGAUAGGUGGGAGGCUUUGAAGUGUGGACGCCAGUCUGCAUGGAGCCGACCUUGAAAUACCACCCUUUAAUGUUUGAUGUUCUAACGUGGACCCGUUACCCGGGUUGCGGACAGUGUCUGGUGGGUAGUUUGACUGGGGCGGUCUCCUCCUAAAGAGUAACGGAGGAGCACGAAGGUUGGCUAAUCCUGGUCGGACAUCAGGAGGUUAGUGCAAUGGCAUAAGCCAGCUUGACUGCGAGCGUGACGGCGCGAGCAGGUGCGAAAGCAGGUCAUAGUGAUCCGGUGGUUCUGAAUGGAAGGGCCAUCGCUCAACGGAUAAAAGGUACUCCGGGGAUAACAGGCUGAUACCGCCCAAGAGUUCAUAUCGACGGCGGUGUUUGGCACCUCGAUGUCGGCUCAUCACAUCCUGGGGCUGAAGUAGGUCCCAAGGGUAUGGCUGUUCGCCAUUUAAAGUGGUACGCGAGCUGGGUUUAGAACGUCGUGAGACAGUUCGGUCCCUAUCUGCCGUGGGCGCUGGAGAACUGAGGGGGGCUGCUCCUAGUACGAGAGGACCGGAGUGGACGCAUCACUGGUGUUCGGGUUGUCAUGCCAAUGGCACUGCCCGGUAGCUAAAUGCGGAAGAGAUAAGUGCUGAAAGCAUCUAAGCACGAAACUUGCCCCGAGAUGAGUUCUCCCUGAGACUUAGAGUCUCCUGAAGGAACGUUGAAGACGACGACGUUGAUAGGCCGGGUGUGUAAGCGCAGCGAUGCGUUGAGCUAACCGGUACUAAUGAACCGUGAGGCUUAACCUUACAACGCCGAAG